rnacentral:rRNA from 1 species
UGAAUACGAGAUGCUACGGCGUCGAAGCAGUCUAUGUCAUACUUCCAAGAAAAGCUUGCACUGUCAUAAACAAAUAAUGCCUGUACCAUAACCGACACAGGUGGGUAGGUAGAGUAUACUAAGGGGCGCGAGAUAACUCUCUCUAAGGAACUCGGCAAAAUGACUCCGUAACUUCGGGAGAAGGAGUGCCUUAUUUAUAAGGUUGCAAUAACAAGAUCCAAGCAACUGUUUACCAAAAACACAGGUCUCCGCUAAGUCGUAAGACGAUGUAUGGGGGCUGACGCCUGCCCAGUGCCAGAAGGUUAAAGAAGUUGGUUAGCAUCCGCGAAGCUGAUAACUGAAGCCCUGGUGAACGGCGGCCGUAACAAUAACGGUCCUAAGGUAGCGAAAUUCCUUGUCGGGUAAGUUCCGACCCGCACGAAAGGCGUAAUGAUUUGGAUACUGUCUCGGAGAGGGGCUCGGUGAAAUAGACUUGUCUGUGAAGAUGCGGACUACCUGCACCAGGACAGAAAGACCCUAUGAAGCUUUACUGUAACCUGAAAUUGAAAUUGGACUUUACUUGCGCAGUAUAGGUGGGAGGCGUUGAGAAUAUUCUUGCGGGAUUAUUGGAGCCAUCAGUGAGAUACCACUCUUGUAAUGUUAGAUUUCUAACUUUGUAUCAUUAUCUGGUCAAAGAACAGUUUCAGGCGGCAGUUUGACUGGGGCGGUCGCCUCCCAAACGGUAACGGAGGCGCACAAAGGUUUCCUCUGAACGGGUAGAAAUCGUAUCUAGAGUGUAAAGGCUCAAGGAAGCUUGACUGUGAGACCUACAAGUCGAGCAGGGACGAAAGUCGGUCUUAGUGAUCUGACGGUGCUGAGUGGAAAGGCCGUCACUCAACGGAUAAAAGUUACUCUAAGGAUAACAGGCUGAUCUCCCCCAAGAGUUCACAUCGACGGGGAGGUUUGGCACCUCGAUGUCGGCUCAUCGCAUCCUGGGGCGGUAGUACGUCCCAAGGGUUGGGCUGUUCGCCCAUGAAAGCGGUACGCGAGCUGGGUUCAGAACGUCGUGAGACAGUUCGGUCCAUAUCCGGUGUAGGCGCUAGAAUAUUGAGAGGAGCCUUCUUUAGUACGAGAGGACCGAGAAGGACAUACCUCUGGUGUACCAGUUAUCGUGCCAACGGUAAACGCUGGGUAGCUAUGUGUGGAGUGGAUAACCGCUGAAAGCAUCUAAGUGGGAAGCCCACCUCAAGAUAAG